UGGGGAAUAUUGCACAAUGGGCGCAAGCCUGAUCCAGCCAUGCCGCGUGAGUGAUGAAGGCCUUAGGGUUGUAAAGCUCUUUCACCGAUGAAGAUAAUGACGGUAGUCGGAGAAGAAGCCCCGGCUAACUUCGUGCCAGCAGCCGCGGUAAUACGAAGGGGGCUAGCGUUGUUCGGAUUUACUGGGCGUAAAGCGCACGUAGGCGGAUUGGUCAGUUAGAGGUGAAAUCCCGAAGCUCAACUUCGGAACUGCCUUUAAUACUGCCAGUCUCGAGUCCGGAAGAGGUAAGUGGAACUCCUAGUGUAGAGGUGGAAUUCGUAGAUAUUAGGAAGAACACCAGUGGCGAAGGCGGCUUACUGGUCCGGAACUGACGCUGAGGUGCGAAAGCGUGGGGAGCAAACAGG
rnacentral:rRNA from 2 species